GACGAACGCUGGCGGCGUGCUUAACACAUGCAAGUCGUACGGUAAGGCCCUUUCGGGGGUACACGAGUGGCGAACGGGUGAGUAACACGUGAGUAACCUGCCCACAACUUUGGGAUAACGCUAGGAAACUGGUGCUAAUACUGGAUAUGUGCUCCUGCUGCAUGGUGGGGGUUGGAAAGCUCCGGCGGUUGUGGAUGUACUCGCGGCCUAUCAGCUUGUUGGUGGGGUAGUGGCCUACCAAGGCGGCGACGGGUAGCCGGCCUGAGAGGGUGACCGGCCACAUUGAGACUGAGAGACGGCACAGGCACCGACGGGAGGCAGCAGGGGGGAAGAUUGAACAAGGAGCGCAAGCCGGAUGAAGAAGCGCCGCGUGCGGGAUGACGGCCUUCUGGGUGUAGACCGCUUGCAGCAGGGACGAAGCUUUUUGUGACGGUACCUGCAGAAGAAGCACCGGCUAACUACGUG
rnacentral:rRNA from 1 species